CAUUUUCUUUGAUUCCAAAUCCAUUUAAUUAAUCCUAGUCCUUUCAUUUAAUCCACCUCAAUGUAUUUCAGGGUCUGCUUCUCGGGGUUAGGCCUUGCUCAGCUUACACAAGGCACAAAACCCCAAAGUCAUUUUCUGAUUAGACGAUAUGUGUGUGCUGAAGCAAAUCGGCACUUGAUGCGUGGCUGAUAAAAUGGUAAUAAUAGGCAAACACACAAAAGGCAUUUCAAUGACUCUGAAAUCAUUAACUCUUAUUUGAUUUGGCAGGUUGAAGAGCACAUUCUCAUUUUCAAUACACAAAGAGGGUUGGCUGCUAGCAGGAGAAGGGCUGGUUGAAUCCAUAAAUUAACACAAAUCAUAACACUGAAUGUUACAUGUCUGUUGCUCGUCUACUAAAACAGUGAUUCUGUGUUUGAUUAAAAAGGUCAGUCGCUGGGGAAAGCUCCUUAAUAAAGAGACAAAAUUACAUCAUAAGAUGGAUGUCUUUAUUUCUGCAAUGCAAGGAGAAGAAUCAUCCAGAAGAUCACUCCAUUAGCAACAAGAUCAUUCAUCUUGAUUUUAGACAGCUCUUGAAAUAAAUUAAUUUCACAAUGCAAUCGACUUCAACCUCAUGUUGUCUCCAGUGGUCCCUCUCCUCUAUUUACCUUUUGUUCUCUGUUUCCCCAUCCUGUUGUGCCUGUCUGUCUGUUUUCCCUGUGAGUUGGGCGUGGUUUUUUCUGGCUCCUCCACACACCUGCAACUUGUUUCCAAUCAACCGCCUAUUAUCUACCCUGGUCCAGCACGCCAGUAUCUUCUGUGAACCACUCAAACCUGCCUGCCAGUCACUUGCUUGCCCACCUGCUUUGCCUUCACCGCUUCAGCUCAACCAUCUUGCUUGGAUUUCCCAUUCUGGACCUGGAUCACUCCCCGCCUCAGCAGACUGUUAAAUCCCUUGAAAAACUCCCUUUGACUAUGAUUUUAGGUAGACUGAAGACGACAAGAAGCAACAUGGAGACUAAUCAAUCUUUGUCUGAUAAUCAACAGUUAAAGCUACAAUCUGUUGAAUUGGGAGUUUGACACCUCCCAGUAGAAGUAACAAAAAAAAGACACUGUGGCAGAAUACAUGCUGAAUCCGGAAAAAUGCAGAAAACCACUUACAUGUACUCAUUUGGCAGACUUACUGACACUUGAUGAAUUAAAAGCAAUAAAAAACGUGGCAACACACAAUUUUCUCUAAAUAAAAAUCCGUGACCCCUUUUCAAUUCCGCUACCACAGGUGUUUAAUAACUUCUCUUCUAAGGACUAUGUGGACAAUGGGCAUAUACAAUCUGUGCUUGCACCUGUUAAUAUGGUUGGCUCUUGAAAGAAGCUGGCCCACGCUCAGUCCCGGAAAAGGAUGUAAUGUCACACACAAAACUUAAAGGCAGUUUUGUUUAUAUUGUGCAUGCACACAAAGGAUGCAGAUACACACCUGCCAAUGGUUUCGCACUAUUCCACUAAUCAACAGGUGGCUGUAACAUGCCAAGACAUGCUGCAAUGUUCCAACAAAGGCAAGAAGGAGGAACCUGCCAGCAAGUAAACAUGGAUGUAAACAAUGCUGGAUUUAAAUACUUAAGAGGAAGGAAAUGCAUUCUUACAGCUCAGGGUGACAGUUUGUUUUGAGAGGAGAGUGAAGGAGAUGUCAAUCAAGCAUAGUCUGUACACACCCACACAGUCUGGAAGAGAUGUCAAAUCAGGAAAAUAAGUGAAAACACCUGUAUGGGUAGAACAAAGGCGACACAAGUAUCUAUGUUUGAUAUGGAAAGUGUUGGGCUGAAUGGCCGUCCAUAGAGGAAUAUAAACUACAGGGAGGUUCUUUUGUAGUCAUUAAAAAAUAAAAGCCUACAGUGCUCUUGUGUGCCAGAACUAUGUACAUGAAUAAUCAAUGUAGUGUAACUGAUACAUAAAUUAAACACUGCAUUCAUUUGGAAAGAAUUACAUAGAUCUAAUUGGGCUAUUUGUCAGUACUGUAUGUUUUCACUACAACUUUCAAUAUUCUUAUUUUGUGUAUGUGUAUGAGCCUAUACUUUGUCUUGGAAUUUGAAAAUAUAAAAUUUGAAAUGGUAGGUAGAUAUGGUGUCUAUUCUGAUGUUCUCUUUUCUACGGUCUUUGGAGUGAAUGUAGUUGAUUUCUUACAACACCGUUGUGCAAGUUGUUCACACCUGGAGCCAGCUGCUCAUCUGGUGACGAAGAAAUCAGAGGCAAUUGGAACAAAGGAAAUUACUAUGACGAGACCCAUUAAAAAGCUUGUAUUUUGACAAGGCUUCCAGGGGAGUUUUGACUCACUCUGCAGCAAAGACACCUGUGUUUUCAGCAGAUGCUGUUUGAAUCUUGACAAGAUGGAGAUUUGAAAAAACU